UACAAAGGGGGCAAGCGUUAUUCGGAAUUAUUGGGCGUAAAGAACGCGUAGACGGCUUUGCAAGUGACAGGUGAAAUCCCUCGGCUUAACCGAGGAACUGCCUGUCAAACUGCAUGGCUUGAGACCGGGAGAGGUGAGUGGAAUUCCCAGUGUAGCAGUGAAAUGCGUAGAUAUUGGGAGGAACACCAGUGGCGAAGACGGCUCACUGGACCGGUACUGACGCUGAUGCGCGAAAGCGUGGGGAGCAAACAGG
rnacentral:rRNA from 1 species